rnacentral:rRNA from 1 species
UACGUAGGGUGCGAGCGUUGUCCGGAAUUAUUGGGCGUAAAGGGCUCGUAGGCGGUCUGUCACGUCGGGAGUGAAAACACGGGGCUUAACCCCGUGCCUGCUUCCGAUACGGGCAGACUAGAGGUAUGCAGGGGAGAACGGAAUUCCUGGUGUAGCGGUGAAAUGCGCGGAUAUCAGGAGGAACACCGGUGGCGAAGGCGGUUCUCUGGGCAUUACCUGACGCUGAGGAGCGAAAGUGUGGGGAGCGAACGGG